rnacentral:rRNA from 1 species
AGGCAACCAGCACGGACGGUCUGGUGGCGAGUGGCGAACGGGUGAGUAAUGUAUCGGAACGUGCCUAGUAGCGGGGGAUAACUACGCGAAAGCGUAGCUAAUGCCGCAUACGCCCUUCGGGGAAAGCGGGGGACCUUCGGGCUCUUUUCUCGGCUAGCCGAUGGGGUUGGCUAGUUGGUGGGGUAACGGCUCACCAAGGCGACGAUCCGUAGCUGGUUUUGAGAGGACGACCAGCCACACUGGGACUGAGACACGGCCCAGACUCCUGCAAGAGCGGCGUUGAGAAUUUUGGACAAUGGAAACCACAGUCCAGCCAUCCGAUGUGCGAUGAAGGUAUUGGUUGUAAGCGCACUUUUGGCGGGAAAGAAAUGGCACGGGAUAAUACCCCGUGCAGCUGACAGUACCUGCAGAAUAAGCACCAGCUAACUACGUGCCAGCAGCCGCGCGGUAAUACGUAAGUGCAAGCGUUAAUCAGAUUACUGGGCGUAAAGCGGCCGCAGGCGGUUCGGAAGAAGAUGUGAUCGAACGCUUUUGAAUUUGUUUUUAACUACCGAGCUAGAGUGUGUCAGAGGAGGUGGAAUUCCGUCGUAGCAGUGAAAUGCGUAUUAGUACUGGAGGAACACCGAUGGCGAGGCGGCCUCACGGAUAACACUGGCGCUCAUGCACGAAAAGCGUGGGGAGCAAACAGGAUUAGAUACCCUGGUAGUCCACGCCCUAAACGAUGUCAACUAGCUGUUGGGGCCUUCGGUGCUGGUAGCAUUACAACUAACGCGUGAAGUUGACCGCCUGGGAAAUUACGGUCAUGAAUUAAAACUCAAAGAUUGUUUGGGGACGCACAAGCGGUGGAUGAUGUGGAUUAAUUCGAUGCAACAUGAAGCCUUACCUACCCUUGACAUGUCUGCAGGUCCCGAAGAGAUUUGGGUGUAUACAAACAGACUGAUUGCUGCAUGGCUGUCGUCAGCUCGUGUCGUGGAUAUUCGGGUUAAGUCCCGCAACGAGCUGUACUUAUUGGCUGAUUUAACACGAAAGGCGCUCUAAUGAGACUGCCGGUGAUAGGCGGAAGGUGGGGAUGACGUCGAAGUCCUCUAUGGCCCUUAUGGGUAGGGCUUCUCACGUCAUACAAUGGUCGGGACAGAGGGUCGCCAACCCGCGAGGAGCGUCCGAAACCCAGUCGUAGUCCGGAUCGCAGUCAUCAUUGCGUGAAGUCGGAAUCGCUAGUAAUCGGAUCAGCAUGUCGCGUUGAAUACGUUCCCGGGUCUUCCCGCCGUCACACCAUGGGAGUGGGUUUUACCGAAGUAAUUAGCCUAACCGUAAGGAGGGCGAUUACCAUGGUAGGAUUCAUGACUGGGGUGAAGUCUCGUAGCUCGGAAGUA